UGAACGCUGGCGGCGUGCUUAACACAUGCAAGUCGAACGAAGCCAAAAGGAAGCUGCUUCUUGAAGCUUAGUGGCGGACGGGUGAGUAACGCGUGAGUAACCUGACCCUUCAGUGGGGAAUAACACAGAGAAAUCUGUGCUAAUACCGCAUAACGUCUUCUUGCCGCAUGACAGGAAGACCAAAGGAUUUAUUCGCUGAAGGAUGGACUCGCGUCCGAUUAGCUAGUUGGUGAGGUAACGGCCCACCAAGGCGACGAUCGGUAGCCGAACUGAGAGGUUGAUCGGCCACAUUGGGACUGAGACACGGCCCAGACUCCUACGGGAGGCAGCAGUGGGGAAUAUUGGGCAAUGGGCGAAAAAGCCUGACCCAGCAACGCCGCGUGAAGGAAGACGGUCUUCGGAUUGUAAACUUCUUUGAUUGGGGAAGAAACAAAUGACCUACCCAAAGAACAAGUCACGGCUAACUACGUGCCAGCAGCGGC
rnacentral:rRNA from 1 species